UGGAGAUGCUCUUAUUAACGAUUAACGAGAUGAAAGUAAGAGGGGCUGUUCAACAUUUCGCCCUGCAAAAAACUCUCUUUUUGCUACAUUAGUCUCUAAUGCUCAAUGCUCGAUAUUUCAUUUGUAAUUUUUUAUUUUCUAGCAGCGGAUCGGAUUUAGACUCCACCGGCUCUAUGUAGCUCCGAAACUCAUCACUAGAACGAAGAACACAGAUUAAAAAAUACAGGAAUUUGAACUGUCGAGAAAAUAAAAUACACAAGUGAUCUCACAUUUUAUUUAGACUGCAAGACAGAAACCAAAAUACAAGCUGAUAAAUUUGUCACAAUCUUGACACUAGCAGAGAAAACCAAAGUCACCAUUAUCAAAGUUGAGGGAGUAGCUGAAAUGAUCAUAAUGAAAGCUGAUUCUUUGCUUCUCCAUCUUCUUCCACUUGAUGUGUCUCUCAAUAUGAGCUCUAGCUCUCCAUAACAACCUCCUCAGCUUCUUCUUACCGUACCUUACUAAAAUAUAUGGCUCGCAAUACAUAACUAUCACAACCUCCAUCUAAAAACACAAUGCAAGCUAGCUAUGUAUUUGCACCUCAUUUGAAUAAGAAUGGAUUGAUGGAAUGGUGUUUUUAUAGUGUGUUUCUUGGCUUUAUAGUACAAACAAUCUGUAUGGAACGGAAUCAGGAGAGACUAACCUGGAGUGAAUUACGG
rnacentral:lncRNA from 1 species